rnacentral:rRNA from 1 species
UUUAAAUAGCUGCAGUAUUUUAACUGUACAAAGGUAGCGUAAUAAUUAGUCUUUUAAUUGAGGUCUAGAAUGAAGGGUUUGACAAGAAAAUACCUUUAUUAAAUUAACUUAAUGAAUUUUAUUUUUUAGUUAAAAAGCUAAAAUUUUUAAAUGGGACGAUAAGACCCUAUAGAUCUUUAAAUUUUUAUUAGAUAAAAUUAUUUAAGUUAAAUUACAUUGUAUUUUUAAAAAUUUUUUGUUGGGGUGACAAAUAAAUUUUUAAAACUUUAAUACUUUAUUCCAUAAAUUGAUGACUCAAUGAACCUAAAUUUAGGGUAAUUAAAAUAAGAUACCUUAGGGAUAACAGCGUAAUAAAUUUGUAUAGUUCAAAUAGAUAAAUUUGUUUACGACCUCGAUGUUGAAUUAAUCUUAAGUUUUGGGGCAGCAAUUAAAAUUUUAGGUCUGUUCGACCUUUAAAAGAUUACA